UCUUCAAGAAAAUCUGGCAGAAGGUCACAGUCAUUUGAGGGAGAGAGUAAACAGGGUAAGAAAAGGAUAGAAUGGGAUUACAAGAGGAGUACUCUGCCCAAUACAUGCAGGUCAUGCUGUCAACCCAAAAGUACUGGAAUUGAACUCAGCCAAAACUAGACACCUGAGAGGUCAUGCUGGUUUGGUAUGUCUGCUCCACUAGGUGUUGGAUAUGUUAUAACAUAGAGACUGCUAUCUGUUACUGAAUGUUUUUCCUGUCUUUCUAGGAGGAUCCAUUGACGCAUCUCAAGGAAGGCAAAGGAUGUCAUCCUCCCACUUUACUCAGCCUUGGUGAGAAUGCAACUGGAGUACUGCAUCCAGUUCUGGGUGCUGUACUUCAAGAAGGAUGUGGAGAAGCUCAAGAGAGUCCAGCUGAGGGCCACAUGCAUGAUUAGAGGCCUGGAGACCAAGAUGUAUGCGGAGAGACUGAAGGACUUGGGAUUGUUCAGCCUGGAGAUGCGAAGAGUCAGGGGAGACUUGGUUGCAGCCUGGGAGACACCAUGAUCUAGAAGAUGGUUUUCCUACCAGCAGGGGAUAACUGCUUUUCUGACAAGAGAGUAAGAUCUUCAGAGUCUACAGAGCUUCAAAGACUGCAGAGUGCUUACAGACCAGCUAAGUAUUACCCAAAUCUAUAUGAUUUAGGUCUUUUUUCUAGUGGGUCUGCUCCCAAAUGUAAACUCAGAAAAUACUAGAAGAUGGUUGGGAAACAAGGCUUACCACAAACAACUUGUAGAAAUUUUGAAAUAACAUCCUUAGAUGAGCUACAGAAUAUCUAGCUGCCACCACAUGUCUUCAAAUUAUAGGCCUACUUCAACAGCCCGCUAAAGACAGUGAAAGUUUUGCAUGCGGAUCUUGUCCUCUGAUGUUUAUUUUAAAACUUGCCAGUAAGUUGGGUCUGUUAAGAGAUUAACGGGUAAUAUAACUGUGGAUUUGUCUAGUUUUGCAUUAGGUUGUCAUAGCUGAAAUUCACUGACAUGUAAAAAAUAGUCAUCGCUUUUCAUUUAUGUGGUGGUGGUGCUGACAGGUGUUGACUGACUGUCCACAGCUUUCAAAAAGAUAUUUUUACUAUAUGUUCAGAUAGAGUUCUAGCACAUUUCUGUCUCAUACUGGACACUUAAAAAGGCAAACAGUCUAAAGCAAUACUUUGUAAACUUUUUUAUCACAAGUACAUUUCCCAACCAGGUAAAAGUGAUAGGUACAUACCAGCUAUUCUCCAGCAUACCAAGUCCCUCCAGCAAAGAACUUGCAUCCAAUAACUGUGUUAAUUUCUGAAUAUAAAACCAAAUUUUGUUCUCAAACUUGUAUAACCACCUUCUCUUUGAUAGGGCUUCACUGUGAGGUAUGUUUUUAAGUAUUUCAUCCAUAGUAAGCUGUAUAACCAACGGAGGGAAGAAAUCACAAGAUGAAUAUUUUAAUAAGUUUAAAAAUCACCACAGUCACAAAGUAAACACCAUUUGCAUUUAAUCAGCUUCUUAGCAGUGUUGCAAAACAUACUCACCAUCUGUCAGGCAUCUACUCCCAAAUACCAAAAGCUGCUAUCCUAAUAAAAUGUGAAAUAAGCCAUCUCCAUAAAAUAUUUGAUAAAUCUAUAAAAGCAGAAUAGCGCAUAAUAAGCAACCCCAUAAAAUCCAUGAAACAUAAGCUUUAGUCAUUAGAUUUCAUUGUUUCUCAGUUUAACCAAACCAAACAGAUAAUUAAGCAAUUAUUUUAACAGUAUAGCCCAGUUCAUGUCAUAAAAAAAUCAAUCAAGUUUUAAAGAUAAUUAGGGGAAAUCAUCAGAGGGUGAUAUGACAAUGGCACCUUGUUGAUAUUUUUAUUAAAUUGCAAACAAUGAAUUAACUUAUCUUGAAAUUAUCCUGAAAUGAACAUAUUUAAUCUGUGAUAAAACCUCCCAAAUGUUACUCUUCGGUUCAAAAGAGAAACAGAACUGCUUUGUAUCAUGGUCAUUAAGAGCAGUACAUAUGCAGUCUAUUAACAAUGCUACUUAUUUUAAGGACCGCAAAGUCAUAAGGUAGAUAAGGAUCUCCCCAGUAAAUGUGUCACAUGAUAAAGUAUUCUUUUAAUGGGUAUAUUGACUUAUGGAGCAAAUCCUACUUGCCUUACUCCCAGCAAAAUAAGUGAAGGGAAAAACAGUCAUUAUCCUUAGCAGUACUAUUUGCCUAAAUCAGGCAGGAUUUGGCCCUAAAGUUAAAAUGAUGUAAUUCCCAGAGGAAUGAAGAGAAAUAAUUAAAUACAGAAAAUAUACAUCAAACAGUAGUGAAUACAUUUCUUGGUUUCUGAAGCCUAACUUGGGAGGUAUGGGCAUUAGUCUCUCUCUCCUCAUAAACUUUUAUUUUUUCAAUCCAGUAAUAUCUGUGAGUUUCAUAUAAAUACUUGUAUAGCAUACAAGAAAGGGCUGAGGGAAAAAAUGAAAUCCCUGUGAGUUGAAACUUAAUAGAUUGCAGUUGGUUGUUCCAAAUUGUUUGUGGUUAAGAGCGUUUAAAGUUUUAAAAGCUGAGUAUUAUUAUAGUAUGAAUAGGUCAGGAUUUUUUCUUCUGCCGAAUAAUUUUUACCAGGAAUUUUCACCUUGAACAAAAACAGGACCUGAACGCAAACAGCAGAUGCUAAUUUUAAACACUUUUUUGUGGAAUAUGUUUUACUGAAAGUAUCUGGAAGUUGAAGGACUUGAUUUUCAGCAGCAGCAACCCCUCUGGUACCACACUGUCUGCCUUAUACAACUCUAAGGCCAGUUGGUACAGCCUUCUUUCCUUUGAGCUCUUAAGCAUAUUGCUUCAUGUCCAAACCUCCUCUUUUGAUGUCAGUUUACUUAACUAAGGACACAGUGGGCGCCUCUACAUGAGACACUACUGCACAGUGGUUACUGCACAUUUAGUUAGAAUUUGUAUCAGCAAGUACUAACUAAAUGUGCAGUAACUGGCAUUACUGUGCAGUUGUGUCAGCAAACAUCUUUUAAGUGAUGCUACUUCACAAUAGCAUAUUAGCACUGUCUGUGCUAUGACCUGCUACUGCACAAUAUUAUUCAGCUACUGCACACUCAGUGUUUUGUGUAGAUGCACCCAGUGGCAGGGAGAAACUAAAACUACAUAGGAUCUCUCUUGACCAAACUAGAGCAGCCUCAAGGAUGCUAGCUUGCACCAGUGUUGGUAUUUUGGAUGGAUGCAGGGGGUGGGGGAGGGCAAUUGCCAACCAAUGGUCAGUGUCAAACCGGUGAAGGAGCACAUAAAAUGGCUGAAUGUCUUCAGGUCGGCAGGACCAGAUGGCCUACACUCAAGAACACUGAGGGAAUUGGCUGGAGUCAUUGCAGGACCAUUGGCAAAGGUAUUUGAAGACUUGUGGUGCUCAGGAGAGGUCCUGGAAGACUGGAAAAGUUGCCAGUCUUUAUGAAGGGGAGGAGGGAGGAUCUGGGAAACUAUAAGUCAGUCAGUUUGACUUUGAUACUGGGUAAUUUUUUGGAAAAAAUUAUCAAGAAGUCCAUUUGUGGAGACUGGAAGAAAGCAUGAUGCUGAAGGAUAGCCAACAUGGUUUAAUUGCAGGCAGAUUGUGUCUGACCAACCUUAUCUUAUUCUAUGAUCCAGUAACGAACCACUUGGAUGUGAGAGAUGCUUUUGAUGUCAUACACUUGGAUUUUAAAAAGGCCUUCAAUAUGAUUCUCUUAUAAAAAAAACUGGGGGAUUGUGGGCUGGCAGAGUCCAUGGUCAGGUGGGUUGGGAACUGGCUAAUGAGUUGAACCCAGGGAGUGUUAGUGGAUGGGUCUGUAUCAUCUUGGCAGGAGGUGGCCAGUGGUAUCCCUCAGGGUUUGGUUCUGGGAUGCAUUAGCCAAUGUGUCAUGAGCAGGGCUAAGGAAGUGAUACUUCCUCGCUACUCAGCGCUGGUGAGACCCCAGCUGGAGUGCUGUGUCCAGUUCUGGGCGCUGCACUUCAAAAAAGAUGUAGAGAAUCUUGAAAGGGUCCAAAGAAGGGCCACAAGAAAGAUUGAGGGUCUGGAGGACAAAUCUUAUGAGGAAAAACUAAGGAAUCUGAGACUGCUCAGCCUAGGGAAGAGAAGACUGAGGCGGGACUUGGAGGCCAUCUAUAAGUAUGUAAGGGGCAUAUAUCGGGAGCUGGGAGAAAAACUAUUCACUAGGGUGCCCCAGGGGAGGACAAGAAGCAGUGGCCAUAAACUGUUAGAGAAUGUUGGAUGUAAGGAAGAACUUCUUUACAGUGAGGAUGACCAGAAUCUGAAACAGACUUCCCAAGGAAGUGGUAGAGUCCUCAACCAUGAAAGUCUUCAAGAGGAGACUGGACAGACACUUGCUUGGAUCAUUUGGGAUCAGAGUGGAGGGGGUUGGACUUAAUGAUCUUUUGAAGUCCCUUCCAGCCCUUAAUUUCCAUGAUUCUAUGAUGCUAAGAAACCAUUUUUCCAGGCCGGGAUUGCAGGAGCCCUGUGUACUCUGUGAUUAUAUCUCCUAUGCAGGGGAAAAGGAAGGAAGAGGUAGAUGUCGUAAAUAUAGACAUGCUAGCUUUACAACCCUAUGAACACUCAACCAGCUUGCUAUCUCCUGUACCCUCAAAGCACCACAAACAGGACAUAGAAGAGUUAAGGAUGUUUGCCUUUUGAAUGCGCCCACUGUGGAUGAGAAGACUGAGCUGAAUUGACAUUAGGACCUGGAUGUUAUUUUAGAAAGAGGACUGGAUGUUAUUUGAGAAAGAGGAGAGCUGUUGCAGAGAACUGGCUUCAGGAAUAAGAAGAGGCUUCAUUGUUCAGAAGAGCAGCCAGGAGCUGCCGGUCAGAGAUCCUGGGCACCUUGAAGGAUUCUGGCUCAGAGAAGACAACUAUGGAGUUCAGAAACUGAAGUAGGGAAAUGUGCGCAAGUGUUUAUUAUUUAUUAUCUAUGUUUUGUCCUUGAUAAAGCAAAGAAUAAUUGCUUUUUGGAACCUUUGAACAAUCUGUGCUGAGGGAGUUUGCUGAUAUGAUUGCAGAGCCAUUGGCCAUAAUCUUUGAACACUUUGGUGAUCAAGAGGGGUCCCAGAUAAUUGGAAAUGGGCAAAUGUAGUGCCUAUAUUUAAGAAAGGGAAAAAGGAGGAUACAGGGAACUACAGAUCAGUCAGCCUCACCACAGUCCCUGGAAGAAUCAUGGAGCAGACCCUCAAGACGUCCAUCUUGAAGCACUUGGAGGAGAAGAAGGUGAUUAGGAACAGUUAGCAUAGAUUCACCAAGGGCAAGUCAUGCUUGAACAACCUGAUUGCCUUCUAUGAUGAGAUGACUGGCUCUGUGGAUGGGGGAAGACCGGUGGAUGUAGUGCACCUUGAUUUUAGCAAGGUUUUUGAUGCUGCCUCCCACAACAAUCUCCCAGGCAAGCUGGGGAAGUAUGGGCUGGAAGAAUGGACUGUAAGGUGGAUAGAAAACUGGUUGAAGUAUCAGACUUAAAGAGUAGUAAUCAAUUGCUUGAUGUCUAAUUGGCAAACAGUAUCAAGUGGAGUGCCCCAGGGGUUGGUCUGAGGGCUGGUUUGGUUCAAUGUCUUCAUCAACGACCUGGAAGAUGGCAUAAGCUAAGAAAGGCUACCCUAAGGAAGGCUGCAGAUCACACCAAGCUGGGGGGAGUAGUAGAUAUGCUGGAGGGUAAGGCUAGGACUCAGAGGGCACACCCACACAUGCAGGCACAUGCGCUUGCAACAGCUCAAAUAGAAGCGGUGCAAAUUUGAGCCGGGGCUUUUUGCCUCAGCACACAUGCUCAGACAUGCACUUUGUUGUGGAGUAAAUUGUGCCACUUGGGACAAAAUAACCCUGCCUGGCUCCUCACAAAUCUGCAGCCAGGGGGAACUAGAGCCUGGGGCCAGCACCUGUCCUGGCCCCAGCAGUACAAAAAACUGCCCUGGCAAGUAGGUCAGGGCCACUGGCUCUCAGAAGCUUCUGGGGUCCAGCCAACUGGUACCUGGGGACAGGACCCCUUGUCCCAGUUGGACUGCUGAAGCAGCCCUGAGAGUUUCCUGCACCCUCUACCCACUGUAGCCAUGUGGCAGUGGGGGCUGCUGCCUGGCUGUAACCUGCUGUGCACCUGCCAGACCUGGAUGGGGACUGCACAGCCAGUAGAGGCAUCUACCCCUCUGGGCCAGCUUCCAUUUGGCUGUGGUUGCAGGUUUGGCCUUUGUGCAACACUACUGCCAUGCGUGCCCCUGCCUGGCCAUCUGGGCAGCUAUUGCCCAGAAGAUGUUCCCAGUGUGGUGGCCUGAUUUGAACUGUCAAAGCAUGUCCUCCUGGCCCGAAUUGGCCAAGAGGUCAGCCACCUUCAGCUGGGUCCAAGAUACCAGCCCUGAGCAGGCAGGGUCCUGCCACUGGCCUCCCUAGCAGGAAUUCUGGUGUUCCCUAUUUGAAAAUUGAAAAAUCCCUGAUAAAAAAUCCCAAAGUCACUCUGUAAAAUACCCCAAAAUCCAUGUUCCUCCAUGAUCAAAACAAAAGACCACUAUAUAUAUAUAGAGAGAGAGAGUGACAGACAGAGAGACAGCAAUCAGUUGGGCAUGUUUUAUUGAUAUAUCUACAGUGUUAAAGCAAUUUGGAUGCCUAGCAGUGUCUCUAUCAUUAUAAAAAAAUGAAUUCUAAAUACCUCUAUGUUUUUCUGCCCCCCACAGGGACUACAGCCCCUCACCAGGUGUUACAGUCCCCCCCACAGGGGCUACAGCCCCCCACCAGAAGUUACAGCACCCCCAACAGGGGCCAAAUGGCCCCCACAGGGGCUACCAACUCCCCUGCAGGGCCCACAUGCCCCACCCCAACCCCCGAUUGUUGCCCCACCAGGACCCAUCCCCUGCUGGCUCCUGCAGCUCCCCUCAAUAGCUGCCCUACCCAUCCCCACCCCCUGCUACCCCAGACCCCCAAAUGGCUGUCCCACCCAGCCCCAGCCCCCGGUUGCACCCCCAGCCCCCUGAGAGCUGCCGCCCCCAACUGUAGGCUCUGGCACUUAAAAAAAAUGCCUCUAUUCACCAUAGAAGUAGGUGCUGUUCUAAGCAAAGGGCAACGGGGGGCAGCAGGGCCCAGAGGGCUGCUGGGGCUGUCACCCCACCCCACUGUGCAGGCAGGGCCCCAGUGACCCAGACGGCAGCUAGAAAUGCUGGGG